GAAGGCGACUCUCUGGUCUGUAACUGACGCUGAGGAGCGAAAGCGUGGGGAGCGAACAGGAUUAGAUACCCUGGUAGUCCACGCCGUAAACGAUGAGUGCUAGGUGUUAAGGGGGUUUCCGCCCCUUAGUGCUGAAGUUAACGCAUUAAGCACUCCGCCUGGGGAGUACGGCCGCAUGGCUGAAACUCAAAAGAAUUGACGGGGGCCCGCACAAGCGGUGGAGCAUGUGGUUUAAUUCGAAGCAACGCGAAGAACCUUACCAGGUCUUGACAUCCUCUGACACUCCUAGAGAUAGGAUUUUCCCUUCGGGGACAGAGUGACAGGUGGUGCAUGGUUGUCGUCAGCUCGUGUCGUGAGAUGUUGGGUUAAGUCCCGCAACGAGCGCAACCCUUGAUCUUAGUUGCCAGCAUUCAGUUGGGCACUCUAGGAUGACUGCCGGUGACAAACCGGAGGAAGGUGGGGAUGACGUCAAAUCAUCAUGCCCCUUAUGACCUGGGCUACACACGUGCUACAAUGGAUGGUACAAAGGGAAGCAAAACCGCAAGGUCAAGCAAAUCCCAUAAAACCAUUCUCAGUUCGGAUUGCAGGCUGCAACUCGCCUGCAUGAAGCCGGAAUCGCUAGU
rnacentral:rRNA from 1 species